rnacentral:sRNA from 1 species
AUUACAUCUUCACGGCCAUCUUCGUGGCGGAGAUGAUGGUGAAGGUGGUGGCCCUGGGGCUGCUGUCCGGCGAGCACGCCUACCUGCAGAGCAGCUGGAACCUGCUGGAUGGGCUGCUGGUGCUGGUGUCCCUGGUGGACAUUGUCGUGGCCAUGGCCUCGGCUGGUGGCGCCAAGAUCCUGGGCGUUCUGCGUGUGCUGCGUCUGCUGCGGACCCUGCGGCCUCUGAGGGUCAUCAGCCGGGCCCCGGGCCUCAAGCUGGUGGUGGAGACGCUGAUAUCGUCGCUCAGGCCCAUUGGGAACAUCGUCCUCAUCUGCUGCGCCUUCUUCAUCAUUUUUGGCAUCUUGGGUGUGCAGGUGUGUGGCCCCCACGUGCUCGGGGGUCUGCCCCGUCUGCCUUCCCAGUGUGGCUCCCAGCAGCGCCGCUGCGGGACAGGGAGGGACAGCUCAGGCCUCACUCACGCCCCAGGAAGUCCGGUGUGGGGUGGGGCACGGGCCA